rnacentral:tRNA from 1 species
ACCUGAGAUAGCUCAGUUGGUAGAGCAUGAGACUCUUACUCUCAAGGUUGUGGGUUCAAGCUCUACAUUGGGCA